rnacentral:rRNA from 1 species
UACGGAGGGUGCAAGCGUUAUCCGGAUUUACUGGGUUUAAAGGGUGCGUAGGUGGGUUGGGUAGUCAGUGGUGAAAUACUUUCGCUUAACGAAGGAACUGCCAUUGAUACUCCCAGUCUUGAAUACAGUGGAGGUGGGCGGAAUGCGUCAUGUAGUGGUGAAAUACUUAGAUAUGACGCAGAACACCUAUUGCGAAGGCAGCUCGCUACACUGUCAUUGACACUGAGGCACGAAAGCGUGGGGAUCAAACAGG